rnacentral:rRNA from 1 species
UACGUAGGGUCCGAGCGUUGUCCGGAAUUAUUGGGCGUAAAGGGCUCGUAGGCGGUUUGUCGCGUCGGGAGUGAAAACACCAGGCUUAACUUGGUGCUUGCUUUCGAUACGGGCAGACUUGAGGCAUGCAGGGGAGAACGGAAUUCCUGGUGUAGCGGUGAAAUGCGUAGAUAUCUGGAGGAACACCGGUGGCGAAGGCGGCAUCCUGGACCGGCAUUGACGCUGAGGCGCGAAAGCCAGGGGAGCAAACGGG